UUAGCUUAAAUAAAACAUCGCUUUAUUUCGACUCCUAAGGGAAAGGCCACUGGUUCGACUCCAGUAGGGAGCGCCA
rnacentral:tRNA from 1 species